CACGCAGUAAACGAUGAAUACUAACUGUAUGCGAUAUACUGUAUGCGGUACAGCGAAAGCGUUAAGUAUUCCACCUGGGGAGUACGUUCGCAAGAAUGAAACUCAAAGGAAUUGACGGGGGCCCGCACAAGCGGAGGAACAUGUGGUUUAAUUCGAUGAUACGCGAGGAACCUUACCCGGGCUUGAAAUGCAGAGGAAUGACUUGGAAACAGGUCCGCCAGCAAUGGUCUCUGUGUAGGUGC
rnacentral:rRNA from 1 species